AACAGGGCAAGUUUGCUGGAAAGUCACUAGUGUUUCAACAACAGCAUGGUAUUUGCAACAUUCAAGCAGUCAACAUCAUGCCAAAUUCGACCAAGCAACAUCAUGCAAUCAUUAUGUAGGCAUCAAGCAAACAGAAAACUUCAAUGUGCCUCAUGUCAUAAACACCAAAACAACACAAACAUGACAAAAAGAUUUUGGGCACAGCAAGUAGUUUAACAGCAGCAAAGGUAUUCAUCAACAUGUUUCAUCAUCAUCAAACCAGUCAUGAACAAACAAAUAUAACAGAAGCCACAAUGAUUAAGCAUGUGCAUAAAUUUUGGGUUCUCAUGCAAUAAACCCUAGGGCUUAACCAACAGCAACAUGAGCUUCAACAUACAAGCAACAGUCAUGCGCAAACAAACACAACAGAAGUAAUAAUGAUCAAGCGAGCCAUGCAGCAACUAUCACCAUUUAACAAUCAACCAACACAAAACAACAUUUAACCCUGUGGAAAUCUGGACAGAAUUAGGGUUUUAAUGCAACAGUAUCCAUCAAGUUCAUGCAACAUCAUCAUGAACCAACAUGCCUAGAAAAUGAAAACAAGCAUGCCAAUAGCUUCAUCAAGCAUCAAAUAACAAGAAUGUGGUAUCAUAUU
rnacentral:lncRNA from 1 species